UGGGGAAUAUUGGACAAUGGGCGAAAGCCUGAUCCAGCAAUGCCGCGUGUGUGAAGAGGUCUUCGGAUUGUAAAGCACUUUCGACGGGGACGAUGAUGACGGUACCCGUAGAAGAAGCCCCGGCUAACUUCGUGUCAG
rnacentral:rRNA from 1 species